GCUGUUUAUGGUCUUCUGUCCCUAGAGUUUGUCGCUCACAAUUUAGCUCAAUAUUGUUGGUGUGUUGUUUUAGAGUUUGUAUGGAUUGAGGAGGCUCCUGAUUCUGUUGCUCCUCUAACCCUUCUGAUUUGUGAAAGUUUAUCUUGUUGUGGGUCAAAAAAAAAUCACUGUUGGGACAUACAAUUAACUAUUUGCCACCAUCACUGCUAGAAUGUGCAUAAGAGGAGAAAGGCCAGCUACAAGUAAAGAAUUAGACAGUGAGUAUCAUAUCAAGC
rnacentral:misc_RNA from 1 species